rnacentral:rRNA from 1 species
ACUUAAAUUGAAGAGUUUGAUCAUGGCUCAGAUUGAACGCUGGCGGCAGGCCUAACACAUGCAAGUCGAGCGGUAGCACAGAGAGCUUGCUCUCGGGUGACGAGCGGCGGACGGGUGAGUAAUGUCUGGGAAACUGCCUGAUGGAGGGGGAUAACUACUGGAAACGGUAGCUAAUACCGCAUAACGUCGCAAGACCAAAGUGGGGGACCUUCGGGCCUCAUGCCAUCAGAUGUGCCCAGAUGGGAUUAGCUAGUAG